UGGUGGCGGCCAGCUUCAGUGUUUGAAGAGGUAGGAAGUACGCUUCUGUCAUUUGUUGCAGUUACAGAGCCUGCUUAGGUUCAAGGAAGGGGAGCUGGCGUCUCAAAGACAGCGUGUGAGAGAGCUUGUUACAUUAGUUUAGUCAUGAAGUUUGUUUUUGUGCAUGUGUCCUGACCUGUUCGUGAAGGUCAAAAGGCAACUUUUAGGGUCAUUUAUCCCCUUCCAGGCCGUCAGGCCUGGGGGUCGUGCAUCUACCUGUACUUGCUGCCGCAUCUCACUGGCUGAGCUGUUGCUACCUCAGCAUUUAAGGUUCUUCUCUGUGCCAGUUGUGAGGGGUGCUUACAACCAGAGUAGGAAGAGAGACGGGGGAGGCAAGUAGUGUUUGGAGGACUUGGCCGCACAGGCGAGCCUGGGAUGUAUUCGGGUGUAGGGUAUGAGAGAGAUCAGAGUGACUAGAGAGAAAAAUGGGUAGCACACAAAACAAAUCCUGAGCCUUUGACUCAAAGAUAUUAGAAUUGGUGGAUUUGCCUGGUUUCACAUUCAGAUUACAUCUGCCGUCAGAUACUUGGGAGGGGCUUGGGCUGCCCUGGGUGGGAGUGGUUUGUUCAUGGCGUGAGUGUUCCUUGCUGAGCUCCCAUCAGGUUGUGUUUGGCCUGUUCUUUCCUCCUCCUCUCUUUUUUAAAAAAAAAAAAAAAAACC
rnacentral:lncRNA from 1 species